rnacentral:lncRNA from 1 species
AAAGAGCAAUGGCAUUUUACAUCAUGUCCUGAAAGUCAUCAGUCCAUAACCACUAAGAAGUGAUGCAAAAUGCUGGUAAUCUCUGCCCAGCAAGCAAUCCGAGUCCAUGCGGAAAGCUCCUGAAAAACAUCAUCUGUGUAAGGAAGAAUUCCUUCCUACAUCUCGGUUACCAGGAGCAGGAAGCAGGGUCCCGUACCGGCUGCUGGCCCCACUCCUCGCUCCAUCCUACUUGCCUCCGUCUUGCCUGCCUCCAUCCUGCUCGUGUCCCACCUGCCUGGGUCUCCUGCUUGUCUUGGAUCCAGUCUGCUCACCACCUGCUUCUCUCCAGCGGUCCUUCCCUGACUGCCUGAAGGUGACUACACCCGGUUCUCUCGCUGGUGGCGGUAACCUUUUUGCACUUUCCUUUUGUAGCCUUUCCUUUUCCUUAUCUCUCCCUCUUAUUCUCCCCCGCUUUUACCGUUACUUAUUGUUACAAAUAAAGUUGAUUGUCUGUUUUGAGACCUAACAUUUGGAGUUUUGUGCCUUAAUCUCGCCUUCAAAGUAAUCAUCUAAAAGAACCUCGUUAUAGCCUCUGAA